GCCGGGCCUUUGUCCCGGGCCCUGUGACCCGGUCUCUCUUUAUCCUGCAGUCCUCCAUGUGCUUCGAAGCUCUGGCCACUCAGAGCCCAAGCCUCGGUCCCUCCUGCUCCUGCCCAGCGGCCAGGCUCCUGCACACAGAACAUGAAUUCCCAUUUAUCAGCUUUCCUCAGUGUCUGGUGAUCUUUGGCUGAGCAUUCACGUCGAGAGGGAGGCACGAGAAGCCGACGGAAAGCUCCAUCUGUGUGACAGGCUUGUCAACUGGUAGAGUUCUCUGUGAGGUGAUCGGGCAGCACGUUGGCUUUUUCAUGGAAAGCUCCUUCCUCUGGGAUUGCUUAGCUUUUCCGGAGAUGCUCAGAGGUGGUGAGGGAGAGUGGGCGUGUCGGCAGAGAGGACAAUGUCACCAUUCCUUCAUCCAGACUUUCACUUAAUUCUCUUCACUCCAUCUUUGAUCACUCAGUCUGGAUGAAGCGAUGUCACGAGCAUCCCUAUAGAGAGGCCCACAUGCCAAGGAGCAGAAGCUUCCUGUCACAUGGUGAGUGAGCUUGGAAAUGGAACCUCCAGCCCCGGUCGAGCCUUCGGAGAUGGCCGUCCCCACCAACAGCUCAAGAACCACGUCAGGAGAGAGCCCCAGCCGAGCCACCCAGCUCAGCCUCUCCCGGAUUCCUGACUGUCAGUAAUUGUGUGAGAUAAUAAAUAUUUACUGUUUUAAGCUGCUA
rnacentral:lncRNA from 1 species